AUACGAAAGGUGCAAGCGUUGUUCGGAUUUACUGGGCGUAAAGAGAUCGUAGGUGGUUUGUUAAGUCGGAUGUGAAAUCCCGGGGCUCAACCCCGGAACUGCAUUCGAUACUGGCAGACUAGAGUUCGGGAGGGGUAAGCGGAAUUCCGUGUGUAGCAGUGAAAUGCGUAGAUAUACGGAGGAACACCUGAGGCGAAGGCGGCUUACUGGACCGAUACUGACACUGAGGAUCGAAAGCGUGGGUAGCAAACAGGAUUAGAUACCCUAGUAGUCC
rnacentral:rRNA from 1 species